UAUUAUCAUUUUUUUAUGUUUUCCUUAUUUAUUUCCAUUUUAUCUUUAUGAUUACUUUUGACGUUUUUCAUUGUACGUUGCCUUUCAUUCUUAAAAAAGUAAGUAUUUUUUUCACUAGUUUAAACUUUAAAAUAAUAGCAUUUAUUUCCUUCCUUUUUUCAAUGUGAACUUUUCUUUUACAAAAUAAGAAUUACCUUUUCAAACUAAUUCUUUUCAAUUUUUUCCUUUUGAGCAGCUGAAACGAAAACUCGUUUAAAUAAUCAGAUCAUCUUCAGGAUUAAGGUGAGUCAAACUUGAAUGAUUUUUAGAGAUUGAUUACAGGAUUACAGAAUAACAUCUUUGUUUUUUUCAAAAGCUUUUUUUUUUUUUUUUUUGCAAUCAAAUGACUAACGUGAACUAUUUGAACUAUUUAUUGUUGUUUAUGUUCACUGUUUGGAAUGAGACUAACCAAGUCAUGGUAAGUAGAAACACAGUUUCCUUUAACCUUUUCAUUGCAAACGUUUAGCUUUUACUUUGAAAGAGUUUUGCUGUUUUUGUGUUAAUAAUCAUUAAGGAGAUAUUUAGUGAUAUCUAUAUUUUUAAAAGAAAAGCUGCAGAAAUGACUCCAUCUCGGAAACAUGCUGUGAGUAUGGCAGCCUUUAUUUUGAAAUCCCUACAGACGCAGCAAGUUCCAUGUUUCUACUGAAUAAGAGUCUUGUUCCAGGCUGGAGGAUGGAUGGAGUUCCCAAAGGCCUCAUCAAUCAGAGCCUGGAUCCCAGUCAUGCCUCCAGCAGAACAGAGCAGACCCACUGGAGGAGCAGCGUUCUUCAGGAUGACCAGCAUCUCUGUUUGGAAGUGGACUCUUCUAGUUCCUCUUGACAGAAUCCCCCAUCAUCAUCCUCCUCCUUCAUCCUUCACGCCAUCCUUCAGCUGUUCAAGUUCAAACAGAUCCAAAG